ensembl:lncRNA
UUUUGCUCAAAAUGCAAAUCUCAUCUGGCAGUUGUAGUCACUGACAUACACACCUGAAAACACUUGCACAGAAAACUGGAGAACAGAAUGGUUGGACGAGCUCCUCAAGGUGGAGGGGAACGGAUCUUCACUCAACAACAAGAGAUUGCCAUCAUUGAAAUGGUGUGAGAAAAUAAUGCAAUCUGACUUCGUGGAUCAUCUGGGAUGAUCCCCUUUCUAAAUGCAAUCGAGGAAUUCUUUUCAGUGUGGCAGUGGAAAGUAUAUGAUCUGCAACCACACGCCCGCAUGACUCUUCUGCAAGAGAUGGACGAGGCAUGUGGAGACACUGAGGUGGGAUCAAUCCAAGGGUGGAUUCGGUACAUAAGGCCAUAUUUUCCCUGAUGCCUGUGAUGUUGACGAGGUCUUGUGGCCAGAUCCGAACAGAAGGUGUAUCACAAAGCUCUGACACUGACAAUUGCAUCAUUAAAGUGACCAGGCUGUGACCCGAUUUUAUGGUGCGAAACCAUAUUGAACGUGAUAGCUGACAGAUAUAAGGCACGGCUGACCUGAGAGUCAACUUCAGCGUCUGUGAACUUAAACAACUCUGAACUCUGCCUGAACCUCUCUAAAAACCAGAUGGAGAGCUGCUUCCAUUUCACAAGUCUCAAGAUGCAGCCUGCCAGCUCUCCAGUCUCCCAAACAAAAGAUAAGAAAUGUCACCACCACUGCAGCGAUCACAGGAGGUCAUUGCCGUCUGAACUGUACUGAAAUGCACACAGAGUCUGAGGUCAUUUUGAGGUUAUUUAAUAUAAGGCCUGAACUGUCAUCUUAAUGAUAGUUUACACUUUCUUUUUCUUUUUGCAUGUAAAAUAUUUCAAGAUGAACAAUUUUUUUUUUUUUUUAGAAAAGCAUGGUUAAAUGAGUAUCUAAUAUGAUGCAUCAUGCUUUUGAUGAGCAUUUAUUUGUACAUCUCUUGAAUAUCAUUG